rnacentral:rRNA from 1 species
AGUGAACGCUGGCGGUAGGCCUAACACAUGCAAGUCGAACGGCAGCACAGUAAGAGCUUGCUCUUACGGGUGGCGAGUGGCGGACGGGGGAGGAAUACAUCGGAAUCUACUUUUUCGUGGGGGAUAACGUAGGGAAACUUACGCUAAUACCGCAUACGACGUACGGGUGAAAGCAGCGGAUCUUCGGAUCUUGCGCGAUUGUAUGAGCCGAUGUCGGAUUAGUUAGUUGGCGGGGUAAAGGCCCACCAAGGCGACGAUCCGUAGCUGGUCUGAGAGGAUGAUCAGCCACACUGGAACUGAGACACGGUCCAGACUCCUACGGGAGGCAGCAGUGGGGAAUAUUGGACAAAGGGCGCAAGCCUGAUCCAGCCAUACCGCGUGGGUGAAGAAGGCCUUCGGAUUGUAAAGCCCUUUUGUUGGGAAAGAAAAGCAGCAGGUUAAUACCCCGCUGUUCUGACGGUACCCAAAGAAUAAGCACCGGCUAACUUCGUG